UAGGGUCGACGUUGGUCGAUGGCGUGUCGUCAGCUCGUGUCGUGAGAUGUUGGGUUAAGUCCCGCAACGAGCGCAACCCCUAUUGUUAGUUGCCAUCAUUCAGUUGGGCACUCUAGCGAGACUGCCGGUAAUAAACCGGAGGAAGUGGGGAUGACGUCAAAUCAUCAUGCCCCUUAUGACCUGGGCUACACACGUGCUACAAUGGUUGGUACAACGAGUUGCGAGUCGGUGACGGCGAGCUAAUCUCUUAAAGCCAAUCUCAGUUCGGAUUGUAGGCUGCAACUCGCCUACAUGAAGUCGGAAUCGCUAGUAAUCGCGGAUCAGCACGCCGCGGUGAAUACGUUCCCGGGCCUU
rnacentral:rRNA from 1 species